AUGACCACAAGGUUCUCUGCGGUGGCGGUGCCGUUGAAGCGCGGCGGAUGUGUACUUGCAGCUGCAUCGGCGGCAGGGGCAGGGAGCCCUCACUUCGGCAGUGGGGAGAAUGAUAACCCGUACGAGAUUUUGGGCAUCAAUCCGCUUGAUGGGUUCGACCAGGUGAAGAUGGCCUACAAUUGGCGUCGAAAGAACGCCGAGAACAGUGGGGAUGCUGCAUACUUGUUGAAGUUAGAGAGGGCUUAUGAUACGGUCAUGAUGGAACAGCUGCAAAACCGGAAGAAAGGUGUGGCAUAUGGAUCAGUCCAGGUGACAAAGGACAUCAAAUAUGCUGAUAAUCAACCAAUAGUUCCCUGGGGACCUAGAUACUCUAGAGCCACUGCAAAGGACGUACAAAUAAAUAUGGCAAUAUCAGCAACAUUUAUCACGUGCAUAUUGACCAUGGGCCAUGCAGACUGGAAACCCUUGCAGUUUUUGUGUUUUGCUUAUUUCUAUCGAAUACUUGAGAAACUGAAGUCUACCGAGCCAGCAAUAACUCCUGUAUACAAUGAGUACGGUGAGGUUGAAGGCCGAGGUAUACAUAUGGCAAAGCGAGUGCUUCGUAGUUUGGGUUUGGUACUUGGAUCGAUAUUUGCUGCAUCCCUGGGUUAUACCGGACUGGCCAAUUUCUCCCAGUUUCUUGGUCACUAUAUUCCCUCUCUUGUUUAUAACUUCCAGGAGUUGAUUGUGACCACAGCUUCAUCUGUUCUGCUUUGCAUAUUGGCUACGUACUACCGAUAG
rnacentral:rRNA from 1 species